GAUGAGCCCGCGGCCUAUCAGCUUGUUGGUGAGGUAAUGGCUCACCAAGGCUUCGACGGGUAGCCGGCCUGAGAGGGUGACCGGCCACACUGGGACUGAGACACGGCCCAGACUCCUACGGGAGGCAGCAGUGGGGAAUAUUGGACAAUGGGCGGAAGCCUGAUCCAGCAACGCCGCGUGAGGGAUGACGGCCUUCGGGUUGUAAACCUCUUUCAGCACAGACGAAGCGCAAGUGACGGUAUGUGCAGAAGAAGGACCGGCCAACUACGUGCCAGCAGCCGCGGUAAUACGUAGGGUCCGAGCGUUGUCCGGAAUUAUUGGGCGUAAAGGGCUCGUAGGCGGUUUGUCACGUCGGGAGUGAAAACCAGGUGCUUAACACCUGGCCUGCUUUCGAUACGGGCAGACUAGAGGUACUCAGGGGAGAAUGGAAUUCCUGGUGUAACGGUGAAAUGCGCAGAUAUCAAGAGGAACACCGGUGGCGAAGGCGGUUCACUGGGAG
rnacentral:rRNA from 1 species